rnacentral:rRNA from 1 species
UACGGAGGGUGCGAGCGUUGUCCGGAAUCACUGGGCGUAAAGGGCGCGUAGGCGGCGCGGGAAGUCAUCGGUGAAAGUUCAGGGCUCAACUCUGAAUCGGCCGGUGAUACUCUCGUGCUCGAGCACUGUAGAGGCAGGUGGAAUUCCGGGGUGUAGCGGUGGGAAUGCGUAGAGAUCCGGAAGAACACCGGUGGCGAAGGCGGCCUGCUGGGCAGUAGCUGACGCUGAUGCGCGACAGCGUGGGGGAGCAAACAGG